UACGUAGGGUGCGAGCGUUGUCCGGAAUUAUUGGGCGUAAAGAGCUCGUAGGCGGUCUGUCGCGUCGAAAUGUGAAAACCCGGGGCUCAACUCCGGGCUUGCAUUCGGAUACGGGCAGGCUAGAGUUCGGUAGGGGAGUCUGGAAUUCCUGGUGUAGCGGUGAAAUGCGCAGAUAUCAGGAGGAACACCGGUGGCGAAGGCGGGACUCUGGGCCGAUACUGACGCUGAGGAGCGAAAGCGUGGGGAGCGAACAGG
rnacentral:rRNA from 1 species